AGCCUUAGCGCCCCCUGGUGGCCCCUACUUUGAAGAACUCUGCGCUAAAUAACCUUCAUGAGGCAAGCCACAAGAGAAGCGUUGGUGAUGGUUUAGAUAUUGUCCUGCAUUUCUCCUCCCAUCUGUUUCCAACAUGCUGGUGAGCCGAGACGAACCGACCCGGCCAAGAAAUGUCACUGAUGUGUUUGAAAAUUCAUUGCCUCACAUCUCAUCAGUAAUGAAGUGUUUGAAACAACUAGAAGCGAGCGUGGAAAAGAAGAGGAACAGACGAGAUCCAGAGGAUUCGUGACAAAUCCUCUGCAUGUUUCUAAUGGCUCAAAAAGUCACACACCACUUUUGUCUGGUCAUUAAUAAAGUUAAAAGCCUCCAAAACGCUUGUUUUUUUAAAGUGACAUCUGGUCCCUCCUCAUUUAGAGGGUGGCAAUGACAAAAUCACAUCUGGGCAUGCUCAGAUUGUGAAAAACACAGACCUCUUUAAGUCACUUAUGCUUUGAUUUUAUUUUAAAAUGUGUUUUUUUUUUUUUUUUUUUUAAACAUCCAAUAAACUCUGUACCUUGAGGUUUUACA